GAGACGUCCAACUUCAAGUCCACAAGUGUUUUCAAGAGUGAGGCACCAGUCAGUGACAAAGAGGUCUGGCGGAGAGAGAUAUGAGGGACGAGUGAGGGCAAACGGUCGGUUGCAUUGGCAAUGCUGUCCGCUACAGUGGAGGAGUGGGAGUGAGUACCGGCCGCCCGCGACAGCCAGAGACGCUCCACUACUAACGGUGUCCAGAUCCGACGAGAAGCCCCUGGCUGCAGCCUGUUGAGCUCCGCCCACCUCAAACUCUUCAGUGACUCAACGUUGAGCUUAGCCCAUCUUCAAUACCAAUAUGUGCCCAUGAAUCUCUCGCUAGCAUCACGAACGCCUAAACAAAACUUGGAAUGGAAGUUACCACAUCGCUCUGAUGCAACGGUUUUAAGUGGUGAUAUUAUGUACUGUAAACUUCACGACAGCUGAUCCCAAUUGUCAAGAAAAUGUACAGAAAAGACCUUCAAUGCAACAGGAAAAAUUACGGAUAAUCCUCAAGAUUUGGAAUUCCGCAGGAGAGGAGCUCCGGCGAGCAAGGCACCGCUGUCGUGGGCAGUACAACUGCAGGGGACCCAACACACUGUGGCCUAUGGACUCACGUGAUAAACUAAAGCCUCAUGGCAUUGCAAUUAAUGGUUGCGUUGACGGAUUUAGUCGGCGCAUAAUGUGGA